CAAGAAGUGAUCAGUGGUGCUAUGUAUUGUUACAGUAAAUCAUAGUGAGAAUGGGCAAGAGAGGGAGAGUUGAGAGAAAGAGGAAAGACUUGCAUGUCA